AGCUUUGCGCAGUGGUGGUAUCGUGGCCAAUGAGGUUUAUCCAAGGCACAAUUAUUGCUAAUUGAGAAGUGUUCUUU
rnacentral:snRNA from 1 species